rnacentral:rRNA from 1 species
AUACGGAGGGUCCAAGCGUUAUCCGGAAUCAUUGGGUUUAAAGGGUCCGCAGGCGGUCAAUUAAGUCAGAGGUGAAGGCCCAUCGCUCAACGAUGGAACUGCCUUUGAUACUGGUUGACUUGAGUUAUACGGAAGUAGAUAGAAUAAGUAGUGUAGCGGUGAAAUGCAUAGAUAUUACUUAGAAUACCGAUUGCGAAGGCAGUCUACUACGUAUAUACUGACGCUGAGGGACGAAAGCGUGGGGAGCGAACAGGAUUAGAAACCCCGGUAGUCC